rnacentral:rRNA from 1 species
GAGUGAACGCUGGCGGUAGGCCUAACACAUGCAAGUCGAACGGCAGCACAGUAAGAGCUUGCUCUUACGGGUGGCGAGUGGCGGACGGGUGAGGAAUACAUCGGAAUCUACUUUUUCGUGGGGGAUAACGUAGGGAAACUUACGCUAAUACCGCAUACGACCUACGGGUGAAAGCAGGGGAUCUUCGGACCUUGCGCGAUUGAAUGAGCCGAUGUCGGAUUAGCUAGUUGGCGGGGUAAAGGCCCACCAAGGCGACGAUCCGUAGCUGGUCUGAGAGGAUGAUCAGCCACACUGGAACUGAGACACGGUCCAGACUCCUACGGGAGGCAGCAGUGGGGAAUAUUGGACAAUGGGCGCAAGCCUGAUCCAGCCAUACCGCGUGGGUGAAGAAGGCCUUCGGGUUGUAAAGCCCUUUUGUUGGGAAAGAAAAGCAGCAGGUUAAUACCCCGCUGUUCUGACGGUACCCAAAGAAUAAGCACCGGCUGACUUCGUG